rnacentral:RNase_MRP_RNA from 2 species
UCCUCGCUCAAAGAAUCGCAUUCAAAGCUCACACACGAGAGUGUAUACCCAUACCUCUCCACCUCAAGCUUUGGGAGAAAGUCCCCGGACACCCUGCCCAAUUUGUUCGCAAAUUGGUUUCUUGUUCUCUCCAUGAGAAUGUCUAGUCAGGCAAUGCGGAAACGCGCCGCCAUAAAAGCAAUUUGAUAGCGGCUUACGCUCCUAUUCUUCCUUGGGAUCUCGGUCUCUGCGACACUCCCUCUUUCAGAGGUAGUGGACACAAUGGCGUUGACGGGAUUCAAAGAGAAGAGGACGUCUCUCGGGACGUCAGUAUUGGGGUUGCUCUUCGUCGUGGUUCGAUAGUCAUGCGAUUGCUCGUCUGCAAGACGGGUAACUCAAUGGGGCUCAUUCUUGAGGCGAGG